rnacentral:rRNA from 2 species
UAGCCUCAAGUGAUGAUUAUUGGAGGUAGAGCACUGUUUGGACGAGGGGCCCCUCUCGGGUUACCGAAUUCAGACAAACUCCGAAUGCCAAUUAAUUUAACUUGGGAGUCAGAACAUGGGUGAUAAGGUCCGUGUUCGAAAGGGAAACAGCCCAGACCACCAGCUAAGGUCCCAAAAUAUAUGUUAAGUGGAAAAGGAUGUGGCGUUGCCCAGACAACUAGGAUGUUGGCUUAGAAGCAGCCAUCAUUUAAAGAGUGCGUAAUAGCUCACUAGUCGAGUGACACUGCGCCGAAAAUGUACCGGGGCUAAACAUAUUACCGAAGCUGUGGAUUGUCCUUUGGACAAUGGUAGGAGAGCGUUCUAAGGGCGUUGAAGCAUGAUCGUAAGGACAUGUGGAGCGCUUAGAAGUGAGAAUGCCGGUGUGAGUAGCGAAAGACGGGUGAGAAUCCCGUCCACCGAUUGACUAAGGUUUCCAGAGGAAGGCUCGUCCGCUCUGGGUUAGUCGGGUCCUAAGCUGAGGCCGACAGGCGUAGGCGAUGGAUAACAGGUUGAUAUUCCUGUACCACCUAUAAUCGUUUUAAUCGAUGGGGGGACGCAGUAGGAUAGGCGAAGCGUGCGAUUGGAUUGCACGUCUAAGCAGUAAGGCUGAGUAUUAGGCAAAUCCGGUACUCGUUAAGGCUGAGCUGUGAUGGGGAGAAGACAUUGUGUCUUCGAGUCGUUGAUUUCACACUGCCGAGAAAAGCCUCUAGAUAGAAAAUAGGUGCCCGUACCGCAAACCGACACAGGUAGUCAAGAUGAGAAUUCUAAGGUGAGCGAGCGAACUCUCGUUAAGGAACUCGGCAAAAUGACCCCGUAACUUCGGGAGAAGGGGUGCUCUUUAGGGUUAACGCCCAGAAGAGCCGCAGUGAAUAGGCCCAAGCGACUGUUUAUCAAAAACACAGGUCUCUGCUAAACCGUAAGGUGAUGUAUAGGGGCUGACGCCUGCCCGGUGCUGGAAGGUUAAGAGGAGUGGUUAGCUUCUGCGAAGCUACGAAUCGAAGCCCCAGUAAACGGCGGCCGUAACUAUAACGGUCCUAAGGUAGCGAAAUUCCUUGUCGGGUAAGUUCCGACCCGCACGAAAGGCGUAACGAUUUGGGCACUGUCUCAACGAGAGACUCGGUGAAAUCAUAGUACCUGUGAAGAUGCAGGUUACCCGCGACAGGACGGAAAGACCCCGUGGAGCUUUACUGUAGCCUGAUAUUGAAAUUCGGCACAGCUUGUACAGGAUAGGUAGGAGCCUUUGAAACGUGAGCGCUAGCUUACGUGGAGGCGCUGGUGGGAUACUACCCUAGCUGUGUUGGCUUUCUAACCCGCACCACUUAUCGUGGUGGGAGACAGUGUCAGGCGGGCAGUUUGACUGGGGCGGUCGCCUCCUAAAAGGUAACGGAGGCGCUCAAAGGUUCCCUCAGAAUGGUUGGAAAUCAUUCAUAGAGUGUAAAGGCAUAAGGGAGCUUGACUGCGAGACCUACAAGUCGAGCAGGGUCGAAAGACGGACUUAGUGAUCCGGUGGUUCCGCAUGGAAGGGCCAUCGCUCAACGGAUAAAAGCUACCCCGGGGAUAACAGGCUUAUCUCCCCCAAGAGUUCACAUCGACGGGGAGGUUUGGCACCUCGAUGUCGGCUCAUCGCAUCCUGGGGCUGUAGUCGGUCCCAAGGGUUGGGCUGUUCGCCCAUUAAAGCGGUACGCGAGCUGGGUUCAGAACGUCGUGAGACAGUUCGGUCCCUAUCCGUCGUGGGCGUAGGAAAUUUGAGAGGAGCUGUCCUUAGUACGAGAGGACCGGGAUGGACAUACCUCUGGUGUACCAGUUGUCGUGCCAACGGCAUAGCUGGGUAGCUAUGUGUGGACGGGAUAAGUGCUGAAAGCAUCUAAGCAUGAAGCCCCCCUCAAGAUGAGAUUUCCCAACUUCGGUUAUAAGAUCCCUCAAAGAUGAUGAGGUUAAUAGGUUCGAGGUGGAAGCAUGGUGACAUGUGGAGCUGACGAAUACUAAUCGAUCGAAGACUUAAUCAA